AGAGGGGAGGCAGCUCUCCCGGCUGCCGCCGGCGCACUCCGGCGGGCGGACCGACGGCGCCACCGCUGAAGCCACCAGCAUUGCCAGACCCUGCAAGGACGUAGAUCAUACAGCAGAAGCGUACGCCCGAUCUACGGUGAGUGAAUUCUUCCUCGCGUAAAGCCAGUAACCCUCCUUCUGAGGGUACAAUUAGACGAAUUUCUGAUGAACAUGGCGAGGAUUUCCCAAGGGUUUGAUCACAAGAUGAUUGCUGGUUGAAGAUUCCGGGUUGAAAGCAGGAACGAACCAGGAUGUAAAGAAAGGAGGAUACGACGGCGGUGCGGUAGCGCCCGAGGGAGGAGUCGCCGAUGAGUCC
rnacentral:lncRNA from 1 species